GAUGAACGCUGGCGGCAGGCUUAACACAUGCAAGUCGAGCGGGGUGAUGGUGCUUGCACUAUCACUUAGCGGCGGACGGGUGAGUAAUGCUUAGGAAUCUGCCUAUUAGUGGGGGACAACAUCUCGAAAGGGAUGCUAAUACCGCAUACGUCCUACGGGAGAAAGCAGGGGAUCACUUGUGACCUUGCGCUAAUAGAUGAGCCUAAGUCGGAUUAGCUAGUUGGUGGGGUAAAGGCCUACCAAGGCGACGAUCUGUAGCGGGUCUGAGAGGAUGAGCCGACACGCUGGGACUGAGACACGGCCGAGACUCCUACGGGAGGCAGCAGUGGGGAAUAUUGGACAAUGGGGGGAACCCUGAUCCAGCCAUGCCGCGUGUGUGAAGCAGGCCUUAUGGUUGUAAAGCACUUUAAGCGAGGAGGAGGCUCUUUUGGUUAAUACCCAAGAUGAGUGGACGUUACUCGCAGAAUAAGCACCGGCUAACUCCGUGCCAGCCGCCGCCGUAA
rnacentral:rRNA from 1 species